rnacentral:lncRNA from 1 species
UUAUUACUCAAUCAUCUAUGAACUUCAUGUAAAACUCAAGGUGGGGAACACCAAACUAAAUGGCCUAUAAAGUUCCUUCCUGCUUUCAGGUUCUGUGACGCUGGAAUCCAUCAUCAAGCUCUUACCACACUUCAUAAUCUAUUAAAUUAUUUACAAAGUCUAUUUAUAGCCUCCUGUUCCUGAAAUUGAGUUAAGGAAUCUUACAACAAAAGGUCUUUAAGUAAGACUAAAUAUCUACGAUAGACAUUGACGUGGAAAAGCAAGACUGAUUCAUUCCUUCACAUUCAUUAGUCUGUUAGGUGCCUUCUCCAGUCAGCUAGUUACCUAGUUAAACUCUGAGGGAAUGGAGACAAUUAAGUUUGGAGGAAGAGGCUCACAUCACAUGAGACCUGUCACUGGGGUGGUGGGAGGAGGGCCGGCGGAGGGGGUUGGCACCAAGAUUCCCCGGGCAGGCAGAGCACAUGAGCUCCCGCAGGGCACGCUGAAAAGAAGCAGGGCGGUGCCAGACAGAGGGCCAGCCGACUUCCAGCCUCCUCAACGAUGUUGCUUAAGGCUGGCUUUGUGUGCGUGCAAAUCAUUCAGAUAAUUGCUGUAAUUCUGUGCUUAGCUUGGCUGCUAAGACCCUUGGUUCAUGAAUAUUCAUAAGCUCUAUCCACACUCCACUAUUACUUAAAUUUUCCUAGACAGCUUUCAUGCUGAGCAUGCCAGCCUGUUUGUGCUGGAGAUGGUGAUGGUGAUGAUUUCUUGUCUGGGUGGAAGCAGGCUCAGCGAGGCCCAGGGACACUUCCCUUUGCCCGCCCACCCAUGUAUUUGAGCAGAAAAGGUACUCUUGCUAAGACAGCCCUGCUUCUCUGCAGGUUUCCUCUUACACAUGGAUUCUAUUCAUUCACCGUUUAUUGAGCUCUGUGCCAGGCACUGUGCUAGAUGCCGGAGCUCCUGCGUAGAAGACCGAUACCAAAGCCCAGCUGCAGCAGAACUAACACAUCUACUCCCAACAUUGAGCCCUCCACUUGCCUGGGCGACCACCACCGAGGAUGGGAAAGGAUGACAUUGGAAGGGAAUUUGCAGCCCUCCUGAUCUCCAGUGAUGAAGGCUAAAUGAGACAAUAUACGUCAUGCAUCUUGCACUUCCUGCCACACAGAGCUUCCAUGGAUACUGAAAGAUCAGCUGACACGUGCCUUCAAGGCUAAAAUGAAUGUGGAUAUCAAUAGUGAUGAGAAGAAAUGGUCUAAAAUAAAGAAACAGCAUGUGCAAAAGUGAAGAUUAUGAUGCUAUGUCAGUUACCUUCAGGACCCAAUUGUAGCCACUUCAGCUGGCCCAGGCUUUCCCGAAAUGUGAAGACAGCAAACUCCCACUCUUCCUCCUGCAGACUGGUGGCAAAAACACAAAGUCCACUUGAGACCAUGAAGUCCAAGGAUCUUUUCUUAUUCCUGGAAUAUACUAGGAAAAAUACAGGCACCGUGCAGCGGGUGCUGUGUUCUAGCUGCUCUGUUAACUGCCAGUUACCUCAUUUGAUCCUGAUGACAACCCUUGGGUAGGUAUUGUGGUUACCUCCAUUCUAUCUCUGGAAGAACUAAGAAUGGAGGUUAAGUAACUUUCCUGAGGCUCCUUAGCUAAGUCUCUAGGACUGGAAUGGAGCCAGGCAGCCUGACUCAAGAGCCCCACUGAGUGCUCCUCCACAGAGGACACAGCUUCUGCACCCCUGCAGGGAGAGGCCCCAACCACAGGAUUGAUAUGGGGAAAAGUGGCCUUAUUUGGCUUUUAAUGAAUUACUCUACCUCCCUUGAUUUCAAAAUAAAGGAGAAGGCUUAGAUCUUGAGAAUCCAUUUGGAUUCAGUGUAAGAAUAACCAUAGUUUGUAUCCUGGCUGGGCUGCUUACCAGGUUCAAGAUAAAAAGAAACAACAAUGAAUCCAACAAAUCAACAAAGCACAAAGUCCAACAACAAAAAAACAAACAAAGAAAAGAAAAAGAAGGGCAAACUGGUCUGAGUUUGAGUUCUUGCUCUUCUCUGAGGGAGUUUGGGCCACCUUUUAGCUGCAGUGUGUCUUGGUUUCCUUACGGGUAAAAUGGGUAUGUUCAUAACUUCUGUGGCCAUUGCACAGUCCAAGAGGGCUGCACUUCCCUUCCCACAUGUGCUUCUUCUGCUGUGGAGCUUACAUUGCUCCCUGGAGCAGAUACCUAAAGAUGUGGGAGUGAGUGAGCCUCCCAGUGGUUCUAUGCCCAGCCUUUAAGCUGGCCCAGCUGACACCAAAUGGAACAGGGCUGACUUGCCAUUUCUCAGCCCAAAGCACAUCAUAAAUGUGUGAGCAAAAUAUCAGGUGCAGUGGCUCACACAUGUAAUCCCAGUGCUUUGGGAGGCUACAAUGGGAAGAUUGCUUGAGCCCAGGGGUUUAAGGCCAGUCUGGACAACAUCAUGAGCCCCCAUCUAUAUUAGUCUGUUUCACACUGCUGAUAAAGACAUACCUGAGAAUGGACAAUUUACAAAAGAAAGAGGUUUAAUUGGAUUUACAGUUCCACGUGGCUGGGGAAGCCUCAUAAUCAUGGUGAACAGCAAGGAGGAGCAAGUCACAUCUUACAUGGAUGGUGGCAGGCAAAGACAGAGUAAGAGCCAAGCAAAAGGGGUUUCUCCUCAUAAAACCAUCAGACCUCGUGAGACCUAUUCACUAUCAUGAGAACAGUAUGGGGGAAACUGCCACCAUGAUUCAACUAUCUCCCACCAGGUCCCUCCCACAACAAUGGGAAUUAUGGGAGAUACAACUCAAGAUGAGAUCUGGGUGGGGACACAGCCAAACCACAUCACCAUCUCUAUAAAAAAAUACAAAAAAGUUAGCUGGGCAUGGUGGCACUUGCCUGUGGUCCCAGGCACUCUGAAGGCUGAGAUGGGAGGAUUGCUUAAGCCCAGUUGGUCAGGACUGCCACUGCACACCAGCCUGAUUGACAAGAGUGAGACCCUGUCUCAGAAAUAAAUAAAUAAA